ACGUAGGGGGCGAGCGUUGUCCGGAUUUAUUGGGCGUAAAAGGCUUGUAGGUGGCCACGCCAAGUCGGAUGUGAAAUCUCCCGGCUCAACUGGGAGGGGUCAUUCGAUACUGGCGGGCUCGAGGCCGGUAGGGGGAAGUGGAAUUCCCGGUGUAGUGGUGGAAUGCGUAGAUAUCGGGAGGAACACCAGUGGCGAAGGCGGUUGCCUGGAGCUUUGCUGACGCUGAGGCGCGAAAGCGUGGGGAGCGAUCCGGA
rnacentral:rRNA from 1 species